rnacentral:lncRNA from 1 species
GAAGCCAAAUAAAAAAGUUCAUGCUGUGUACAGAGGGUGUUGAGAAUGCCUCCUACGUGACGGAAAGCAGAUCCGUGGUUCCCUGCAGACCGGCAGGAGCAGAUUCCAAAGGCACAGGAAGAAGCUUGCAGGUUUCCUUAACGACAACAAAAAAGGGAGUAAUCCUACCUACUGUAAGAGUCAUGACUCUUGAUUGCAGCUGACAGAAGCUCAUGACAGCCUGGUUUAGAUAAAAGGGGAAAGGACGACUGGAAGAAUCUUGGAGUUGGGAAUAUGGCACAUAAUUGAAGGAAGAGCAAUAAAACUAUAGCAGCUGCUCCCAACCCCAGCAACUUUGCUAUCUUAGAACGGAUCACCAGUGAAAGAGGGGAAGUUGCUACUGUGAUGAAUUCUGCCAUGUGGUACCAGACUGCUGCCCAGACCACAGUGUCCUCUGCAACCCUGGUAACUCACAUACAGGCCUGAUUCCACCUACAGCAAAGCUGGAUGCUAUGGUUGGCAGAGGCAAGCCCCUUGCCUGCACUUCAGGCCAAAGCCGGGAUGUGGCCUAGAUGGUUCCUAAGGUCCCUGACAGUCCUGAGAUCUUUCAUCUUGUCUAUUUCAGGUCAAAGCUUCUCAGAUGACCAAGAUGGUGCUGCCGAUGGUGUUGAGGACGGAGAACCCACCAAGCCC